AUGGCAGUGGCCCGUGGCUAGGUCCCAGCUCCUGGGCUGCUGGCUGAGUCCAGGCCACAGCUGGGGCAGCCCAGGUUGAGGGGCAGCCACAGUGAGGAGGGCUCAGGGGACAUAUGGAAGACCCUUUACUUCAUCGUGCCCCCUGGGGUGGGAGUGAGCUGGACACCUUGCUGAAGCCACAUGACGUGUGUACAUGGGACCCCAGGUUAUCGCCUACCUCAGCCCCACCAAGGGUCCAAGCCCUUUCCCUGGGGAGACGGUGACCAUGCUCUAGUCAAUAACCCUCAGUUAAUCUGCUUCCAGCCAGCUAUGAAGAUGAAUAA
rnacentral:lncRNA from 1 species